UACGUAGGGUGCAAGCGUUGUCCGGAAUUAUUGGGCGUAAAGAGCUCGUAGGCGGUUUGUCGCGUCGGCUGUGAAAACCUGAGGCUCAACCUCGGGCCUGCAGUCGAUACGGGCAAACUAGAGUUCGGUAGGGGAGACUGGAAUUCCUGGUGUAGCAGUGAAAUGCGUAGAUAUCAGGAGGAAUACCGAUGGCGAAGGCAGGUCUCUGGGCUGACACUGACGCUCAUGCACGAAAGCGUGGGGAGCAAACAGG
rnacentral:rRNA from 1 species